rnacentral:rRNA from 1 species
AAGGCCGAGAGCUGAUGACGAGUGCUCAUUAGAGCGCGAAGUGGUUGAUGCCAUGCUUCCAAGAAAAGCUCCUAAGCUUCAGAUAACUGGGAACCGUACCCCAAACCGACACAGGUGGUUAGGUAGAGAAUACCAAGGCGCUUGAGAGAACUCGGGUGAAGGAACUAGGCAAAAUGGCACCGUAACUUCGGGAGAAGGUGCGCCGGUGAGGGUGAAGGACUUGCUCCGUAAGCCCACGCCGGUCGAAGAUACCAGGCCGCUGCGACUGUUUAUUAAAAACACAGCACUCUGCAAACACGAAAGUGGACGUAUAGGGUGUGACGCCUGCCCGGUGCCGGAAGGUUAAUUGAUGGGGUUAGCGCAAGCGAAGCUCUUGAUCGAAGCCCCGGUAAACGGCGGCCGUAACUAUAACGGUCCUAAGGUAGCGAAAUUCCUUGUCGGGUAAGUUCCGACCUGCACGAAUGGCGUAACGAUGGCGGCGCUGUCUCCACCCGAGACUCAGUGAAAUUGAAAUCGCUGUGAAGAUGCAGUGUAUCCGCGGCUAGACGGAAAGACCCCGUGAACCUUUACUAUAGCUUUGCACUGGACUUUGAAUUUGCUUGUGUAGGAUAGGUGGGAGGCUUUGAAGUGGGGACGCCAGUUCUCAUGGAGCCAUCCUUGAAAUACCACCCUGGCAACUUUGAGGUUCUAACUCAGGUCCGUUAUCCGGAUCGAGGACAGUGUAUGGUGGGUAGUUUGACUGGGGCGGUCUCCUCCCAAAGAGUAACGGAGGAGUACGAAGGUGCGCUCAGACCGGUCGGAAAUCGGUCGUAGAGUAUAAAGGCAAAAGCGCGCUUGACUGCGAGACAAACACGUCGAGCAGGUACGAAAGUAGGUCUUAGUGAUCCGGUGGUUCUGUAUGGAAGGGCCAUCGCUCAACGGAUAAAAGGUACUCCGGGGAUAACAGGCUGAUACCGCCCAAGAGUUCAUAUCGACGGCGGUGUUUGGCACCUCGAUGUCGGCUCAUCACAUCCUGGGGCUGAAGCCGGUCCCAAGGGUAUGGCUGUUCGCCAUUUAAAGUGGUACGCGAGCUGGGUUUAGAACGUCGUGAGACAGUUCGGUCCCUAUCUGCCGUGGACGUUUGAGAUUUGAGAGGGGCUGCUCCUAGUACGAGAGGACCGGAGUGGACGAACCUCUGGUGUUCCGGUUGUCACGCCAGUGGCAUUGCCGGGUAGCUAUGUUCGGAAGAGAUAACCGCUGAAAGCAUCUAAGCGGGAAACUUGCCUCAAGAUGAGAUCUCACUGG